AACGUGAACGCGCAAGUGACGCUUCUUAUACGCGGAACCAGCUUGUUAGGCUGCCCAACACUUUUCUCUUUUUAAUAAUUAGAUAGAGGAUAUCCCCAUCUUUUUCUUAUGUCUCACAUAUAGAGGCGAAGAAAAGGCAUACUCCUUAGACUUCAUUAAAGGCUAAAACUUGAAGGCCUUAUAGAGCAUCCCCAUUUCUCUGGAUUGGAGUCUGCCUUCCCCAAAAUCCCAAGGCCCACUUGUGCAAGGAUCAUGGGUCAUCACCACCACCACCACCACCACCAUCAUGAAGGCCACAGCUCAUAUGAUGAUCCCUGUUUUGCCUGCUGUUGCUGCCCUUGCUUUGUGGUUUCCUCUGUCAUUAGGGGAUUCGGGAGAUGCAUCUUUGUGGCCUGCUACCCCAUCCUGCAAUGCUUUGGAUUGGACGAGUACAGGCAUCGCCACCACCACCACCAUCACAGCCAUUUCCAUUGAUUCCAUUCCUCUAGCAAGUUGUCCUUGAAUUUGUUUAUAAUAAUAUUUCGAUGCUUUCUUUAAGUAAUAAUUAGGCGUUCCGGGUUAGUAAUGUUAGUGACGAAUUAUGAGAAAGUUUGUGGGCUAAUGAGAAGUGGUUAGUGCGUCAUUGUUCUCCAAAUUGGCACUCAAGAGACUUUGGUUGCAACUAAGACUUUUCUGCUGCUUUAAAAGUAAAACGUUUCAGUUUCCUAGGUUUGAACGUUGGUUGAUGUGGCUCGUCUACAAACAGACUGCAAGGGACAAAUUCAUACAGCUUAUGUAAUUGUUUACAUUAUAUAUAUUAUAUUUGUGGAAUCAUGCUAGUA